rnacentral:lncRNA from 1 species
CUCAACUCUGCAAACACUCCUGUAACCUUUGCGGUUUGACCCUGACUAACUGCCUACGUGGAACUCAACACCUAGGUGGCCACUCAGGCCAAAACCAGGAGAUGGAAGUAGAGAUGUGCCCCGGAAAUCCCAGUUCUACUACUCACCAGCGGGUCCUGGGCCACAAGGAACUGAACCUGCAGCAGCCAUGUGAGCUUGGAAGAGGAUCCUUCCCCCUUCGUGCUUUCGGAUGAGACCUCAGUUCUGAUGACACAGCGCCGACAGCCUCAGCAGAGACCUUGAAGCAGAGCCCCCGGCUAAGUCAUGCCUGGAUUCCUGACCCACAGAGACUGCGAGAUAAUAAAUGUGUGUUCUCUAACCACCA